UCUUUUUUUGUGGGAAUUCUUUUCUUUUUUUAAGAGUGAGAUAUUUGUUCCUUUUUAACAUAGUACUAGUAAGUAUGCACGUGCAACGCACGUCUCGACUAAAAUAUAUUUCAUUAUGAAACAUAGUAAUUCUAUUAACAAUGUAAACCUACUUUCUGUGAAGCUGAAAUCUCAUGCAGAUAGCAUAUAAUUUCUAAGUCCUUAAAAUGACUGGAAAAUAUCAUGCUUUAUGAAUACAUUCCCAAGUCCAUUGCAUAACAAGUACCAAAUAUCGUUAACUAAUUGAUACAAAAUCAGUCCAUGAAGAAAAUUAAAUUGUGACCAAGUAUAUUUGCAUUAUGCCGCCCCCCUCCGGUAGUGCAUCUUGGCAACCAACGCCAUCACCAAUACCUCGCGGGAAACCAUGGUAAUAUGUAGAUACUCAUCAUGUAACGCAGAUAUAAUUGUUUGUCAUACUCGCAGCCAUGACCUCUUAAACUGCAUAACUGACAUAAUUCACGUGUUAUUCAUAGCUUAGAGUAAUCAUUGGAUCUAAACUAAACUAAAUUUGAGGUAUAAUAUUCCCAACCAAAGAAAAAUACAUUUUCAAUCUUAUUUUCUUUUAGUUGGUACCUAAGAAUGUGCCACUGCCAAUAGGCACCGGGAAAAAAGAUAUGCAAGUGUGUAUAUAGAGGCAACGGAAAUUAGUAGUUUCCACAGAAGCUCAUCAAAUGACAUAAUUCAUCAUAGUUCUGGGAUACAAGUUUGAAAACAUUGCUAGUCUUUUUUCUUUUGAGAUACAAGUUUGCGCAUCUAAGAAACAAAAGAUUGCUAGUUCACACAGAAACAAACCAUCAAGUUGCAUCAAUAAGACAUCCUCGCCCCUGCGGUUGUACCAAGCAAUGUCAGGAACACGUGAAAUCAGUCAUAGAACUCGCUAACGUACAAAUCAGAUGCACAAACCACUAAAGGUGGAACCACGCUUACUCAUAAUCUGAAGGUCCUAGCCAAUGUAGUUCAUUUAUGGUCAUUUAGUGUUAAUC
rnacentral:lncRNA from 1 species